GUGACUGUGUUAUAAGGUAAUUAUUUGGAUUCGUAAUGCGAAGGUCGUAGGUUCGACUCCUAUUAUCGCACCA
rnacentral:tRNA from 1 species